rnacentral:rRNA from 1 species
AGGGGUGAAAGGCCAAUCAAACUCCGUGAUAGCUGGUUCUCCCCGAAAUAGCUUGAGGGCUAGCGUCAGGGGAUGAGUUGUGGAGGUAGAGCGCUGAUGGGGUGCGGGGCCCGCGAGGGCUACCAAGCUUCGUCAAACUGCGAAUGCCACAAUGUCGAGGAACCUGGCAGUGAGACUGCGAGCGAUAAGGUCCGUAGUCGAGAGGGAAACAGCCCAGAUCGCCGGCUAAGGCCCCUAAGCGUUUACUAAGUGGA